rnacentral:rRNA from 1 species
GACGAACGCUGGCGGCGUGCUUAACACAUGCAAGUCGAACGGUAAGGCCCUUUCGGGGGUACACGAGUGGCGAACGGGUGAGUAACACGUGGGUGAUCUGCCCUGCACUUUGGGAUAAGCCUGGGAAACUGGGUCUAAUACCGGAUAGGACUACGCGAUGCAUGUCGUGUGGUGGAAAGCUUUUGCGGUGUGGGAUGGGCCCGCGGCCUAUCAGCUUGUUGGUGGGGUGAUGGCCUACCAAGGCGACGACGGGUAGCCGGCCUGAGAGGGUGUCCGGCCACACUGGGACUGAGAUACGGCCCAGACUGCUACGGGAGGCAGCAGUGGGGAAUAUUGCACAAUGGGCGCAAGCCUGAUGCAGCGACGCCGCGUGGGGGAUGACGGCCUUCGGGUUGUAAACCCCUUUCAGCACAGACGAAGCGUAAGUGACGGUAUGUGCAGAAGAAGCACCGGCCAACUACGUG